rnacentral:RNase_P_RNA from 1 species
GGGAUUCGGCUCUUAAGUGGGCAGAUGUCGCAAAUAACGAUAUCGAAUUCUGAGUGAAGGUCCGGCCACCAUAUUAAGAUUGUCUCUUGAAAGAGAGAUUCCUGUGAAGGAAAGCUCCAGAAGAGAAACGACACAGCCAACACUGAGUAAUGAAACUUGCGUGGAACUUUGAGGUGUUGGAUUUGAUGAAACGGCUGUCUCAAUCGGUGCAACUCCUUAUGGAGGCAUAGUUGAAUGUUAACACGUUCAGUUUGUCCGGGUCGAAAAGGCCGUGUCCAUUGGACAACGGAAACAAUGAACGACAGAAGCUGGCCUAACUCCGACUUAC